rnacentral:misc_RNA from 1 species
AACGCACAUUGCGCCCCUUGGUAUUCCGGGGGGCAUGCCUGUUCGAGCGUCAUUGCAACCCUCAAGCCUAGCUUGGUAUUGGGCCUCGCCGCUAACCGGCGGGCCUUAAAAUCAGUGGCGGUGCCUCCGUAGCCCUGAGCGUAGUAAAUCUCCUCGCUUUAGGACGCGGUGGUACCUGCCAGAGACCCCCACCUCUAAGUUUGACCUCGGAUCAGGUAGGGAUACCCGCUGAACUUAA